AAGACCUUGCGCUUUUGGAGCGGCCGAUGCCUGAUUAGCUUGUUGGUAAGGUAAAAGCUUACCAAGGCUUCGAUCAGUAGCUGGUCUGAGAGGACGACCAGCCACACUGGGACUGAGACACGGCCCAGACUCCUACGGGAGGCAGCAGUGGGGAAUUUUGGACAAUGGGGGCGACCCUGAUCCAGCCAUGCCGCGUGAGUGAAGAAGGCCUUCGGGUUGUAAAGCUCUUUCAGCCGGAACGAAACGGUUACGGAUAACACCCGUGACUACUGACGGUACCGGAAGAAGAAGCACCGGCUAACUACGUGCCAGCAGCCGCGGUAAUACGUAGGGUGCGAGCGUUAAUCGGAAUUACUGGGCGUAAAGCGUGCGCAGGUGGUUUUGUAAGUCAGAUGUGAAAGCCCCGGGCUCAACCUGGGAACU
rnacentral:rRNA from 1 species